rnacentral:rRNA from 1 species
AGGACGAACGCUGGCGGCGUGCUUAACACAUGCAAGUCGAGCGGAAAGGCCCUUCGGGGUACUCGAGCGGCGAACGGGUGAGUAACACGUGAGCAAUCUGCCCUUAGCUUCGGGAUAGCUCCGGGAAACCGGAAUUAAUACCGAAUAUGACCCCGGCCGACAUCGGCUGUGGUGGAAAGUUUUUCGGCUAGGGAUGAGCUCGCGGCCUAUCAGCUUGUUGGUGGGGUAACGGCCUACCAAGGCGACGACGGGUA